UGGGGAAUAUUGCACAAUGGGGGAAACCCUGAUGCAGCGACGCCGCGUGAACGAAGAAGGUAUUCGUAUCGUAAAGUUCUGUCCUAUGGGAAGAUAAUGACAGUACCAUAGAAGAAAGCUCCGGCUAAAUACGUGCCAGCAGCCGCGGUAAUACGUAUGGAGCGAGCGUUGUCCGGAAUUAUUGGGCGUAAAGGGUACGCAGGCGGUUUAAUAAGUCGAAUGUUAAAGAUCGGGGCUCAACCCCGCAAAGCAUUGGAAACUGAUAAACUUGAGUAGUGGAGAGGAAAGUGGAAUUCCUAGUGUAGUGGUGAAAUACGUAGAUAUUAGGAGGAAUACCAGUAGCGAAGGCGACGUUCUGGACACAAACUGCCGCUGAGGUACGAAAGCGUGGGGAGCAAACAGG
rnacentral:rRNA from 1 species